rnacentral:rRNA from 1 species
AGCUCCAAUAGCGUAUACUAAUGUUGUUGCAGUUAAAAAGCUCGUAGUCGGACUCCAGUGUAUCUAUGUGAAUUCUUAUAGAAGUCAACAUGGGUAUACUAUUCGGCAGAAACGUUCAUAUCAUUCAUUUGUUAUGAUUGGGGACUGCCUUAUUUACUUUGAGAAAAUUAGAGUGUUCAAAGCAGGUAUCUGCCUGGAUAUUACUCUUGGAAUAAUAAUAUAGAAUCUUGGUUCUAGUUUGUUGGUGAUCUAGAAUUGAGGUAAUGAUCUAUAGGGACGGUUGGGGUCAUUCAUACUGCGAAGCGAGAGGUGAAAUUCUUGGACCUUCGUAAGAUGGACAACUGCGAAAGCAUUUGACUAGGACGUUCCCG